AGCGGCGAGUCGAAACACCGAGGAGACACACAGGAGAGUUUGGGAGGCGAUGCAGCAGUAUCAAGCCGAAGACAAGAGGAUAUGAACUAGACGACAUAUGAGGAUGCUCUCUUAUGAGACUUCAUGGGAUUUACCUGAAGCAGCAGCACAUGAGCCUGCAGUGGCACAAGGUGUAGAGGAGGAGGACAGAGAUGUACAGGAUGCACUGAUGCACUACAUGUCAUGCAAAGUUAUUCUUCUUGUUAUACUUCUGUUUUUCUGUCCCCGGACCGCUAUUGUUUUCUUGAAAGCAAUUCUGACAAUAAACUUUUGUACCUUUUG